rnacentral:ncRNA from 1 species
CUUAUCAAGAGUGGCUGAGGUAACAGGACCUAUGAAGCCCGGCAACCCGGCAUUUGCCGAAGGUGCCAAAUCCUGCGGGUAAUCCCGAGAGAUGAGG